rnacentral:rRNA from 1 species
AGUGAACGCUGGCGGUAGGCCUAACACAUGCGAGUCGAACGGCAGCACAGUAAGAGCUUGCUCUUACGGGUGGCGAGUGGCGGACGGGUGAGGAAUACAUCGGAAUCUACUUUUUCGUGGGGGAUAACGUAGGGAAACUUACGCUAAUACCGCAUACGACCUACGGGUGAAAGCAGGGGAUCUUCGGACCUUGCGCGAUUGAAUGAGCCGAUGUCGGAUUAGCUAGUUGGCGGGGUAAAGGCCCACCAAGGCGACGAUCCGUAGCUGGUCUGAGAGGAUGAUCAGCCACACUGGAACUGAGACACGGUCCAGACUCCUACGGGAGGCAGCAGUGGGGAAAAUUGGACAAUGGGCGCAAGCCUGAUCCAGCCAUACCGCGUGGGUGAAGAAGGCCUUCGGGUUGUAAAGCCCUUUUGUUGGGAAAGAAAAGCAGCAGGUUAAUACCCCGCUGUUCUGACGGUACCCAAAGAAUAAGCACCGGCUAACUUCGUG